GUCGCUAUGGAGACCUACUUUGUGUACGGAAAUAGUGAUACUCCUCAAGGUAGCAGCAACUUUGUGAAAAAUUAAUGCAUGUUGCCAGUUCAGUUCUGUGUUGUGUUCACUGGUGAUUCAGGGCAGGUCGAGUGAAGUAAAAGAAGAAGAGAGAGAAAAGGAAGUGGAGGAAAUGUCACUUUGCCUGUAUGAGUGUCUGAGGGCCGUCGGGCUACAUCGUCACUAUGACAGGUUUACCUCAGUGGGUAUUCAUCGUGCAGCCCACCUUUCAGUGCUGACCAUGGAGGACUAUCCCAUCCUGGGAAUCCGCUCUAUGGAGGACAGAUCUCGGCUCUUCCAUCUG